UCGAGAAUUUUUCACAAUGGGGGAAACCCUGAUGGAGCGACGCCGCGUGGAGGACGAAGGCCUUCGGGUCGUAAACUCCUGUCAUGCGGGAACAAGAAAGUGAUAGUACCGCAAGAGGAAGAGACGGCUAACUCUGUGCCAGCAGCCGCGGUAAUACAGAGGUCUCGAGCGUUGUUCGGAUUCAUUGGGCGUAAAGGGUGCGUAGGUGGCGAUGUAAGUCUGGUGUGAAAUCUCUGAGCUCAACUCGGAAAUUGCAUUGGAUACUGCGUUGCUUGAGGAUUGUAGAGGAGAGUGGAAUUCACGGUGUAGCAGUGAAAUGCGUAGAUAUCGUGAGGAAGACCAGUUGCGAAGGCGACUCUCUGGGCAAUUCCUGACACUGAGGCACGAAGGCCAGGGGAGCAAACG
rnacentral:rRNA from 1 species